ACUUACUCUUCGGAGUGAGAGCGUACACAGGUGCUGCAUGGCUGUCGUCAGCUCGUGUCGUGAGAUGUUGGGUUAAGUCCCGCAACGAGCGCAACCCUGCAUUCAGUUGCCAUCGGUAAGGCCGGGCACUCUGGAUGGACUGCCGGCGACAAGCCGGAGGAAGGUGGGGACGACGUCAAGUCAUCAUGGCCCUUAUGUCCAGGGCGACACACGUGCUACAAUGGCCGGCACAACGGGAAGCGAAGGGGCGACCCUGAGCGGAUCCCACAAAAGCCGGUCUCAGUUCGGAUUGCAGUCUGCAACUCGACUGCAUGAAGUUGGAAUCGCUAGUAAUCGUGGAUCAGCCAAGCCGCGGUGAAUACGUUCCCGGGCCUU
rnacentral:rRNA from 1 species